GGGUAGAACUGCACAAGUUGCUGCAAUGUUGCUGUGGUGAUUUUCAGCUGAGGAGUGCCAAUUGAAGUCAAAAAGAAAAUCAAAAGCAGAGAAGAUAUACAGAAUAAAGGGUAACUAACCAAUGACAAAACACAAAACCCAAUAGAAGGAAGAGGAAAGGAAAACUGAGGCAAGGCAGAAGGAUAUAUUUUCUGAAUUCUCGCCUAUAAUGAGGCUCCCUUCUUGGUGGAUCGGGCCAAUGGAAUCACCCUGUACAUCCUGGCCUCCUGUACCAUCAGGUCCAUUUCCCACUUAGUAAGCUGGCCUUAAACUGUUUGAGCAAGUAAAAGUGUAUCAUCGUGCCAGCAGUAUUAUAAUAUAGCCACUUUC